rnacentral:rRNA from 1 species
GAUGAACGCUGGCGGCGUGCCUAAUACAUGCAAGUCGAGCGAACGGACGAGAAGCUUGCUUCUCUGAUGUUAGCGGCGGACGGGUGAGUAACAUGUGGAUAACCUACCUAUAAGACUGGGAUAACUUCGGGAAACCGGAGCUAAUACCGGAUAAUAUUUUGAACCGCAUGGUUCAAAAGUGAAAGACGGUUUUGCUGUCACUUAUAGAUGGAUCCGCGCUGCAUUAGCUAGUUGGUAAGGUAACGGCUUACCAAGGCAACGAUGCAUAGCCGACCUGAGAGGGUGAUCGGCCACACUGGAACUGAGACACGGUCCAGACUCCUACGGGAGGCAGCAGUAGGGAAUCUUCCGCAAUGGGCGAAAGCCUGACGGAGCAACGCCGCGUGAGUGAUGAAGGUCUUCGGAUCGUAAAACUCUGUUAUUAGGGAAGAACAUAUGUGUAAGUAACUGUGCACAUCUUGACGGUACCUAAUCAGAAAGCCACGGCUAACUACGUG